rnacentral:rRNA from 1 species
GACGUAGGGCGCGAGCGUUGUCCGGAUUUAUUGGGCGUAAAGAGCUCGUAGGCGGUUUGUUGCGUCGACUGUGAAAACCCGCGGCUCAACCGUGUGGUCUGCAGUCGAUACGGGCAGGCUGGAGUUCGGUAGGGGAGACUGGAAUUCCUGGUGUAGCGGUGAAAUGCGCAGAUAUCAGGAGGAACACCGGUGGCGAAGGCAGCUCGCUGGGACGUGACUGACGCUGAGACGCGAAAGCGUGGGGAGCAAACAGG